rnacentral:rRNA from 1 species
CAAGUCGAACGGAAAGGCUCCUUGCUUGCAAGGGGUACUCGAGUGGCGAACGGGUGAGUAACACGUGGGUGAUCUGCCUUGCACUUCGGGAUAAGCCUGGGAAACUGGGUCUAAUACCGGAUAGGACCAUGCUUUAGUGUGUGUGGUGGAAAGUUUUUUCGGUGCAAGAUGAGCCCGCGGCCUAUCAGCUUGUUGGUGGGGUAAUGGCCUACCAAGGCGACGACGGGUAGCCGGCCUGAGAGGGUGUACGGCCACAUUGGGACUGAGACACGGCCCAGACUCCUACGGGAGGCAGCAGUGGGGAAUAUUGCACAAUGGGCGCAAGCCUGAUGCAGCGACGCCGCGUGGGGGAUGAAGGCCUUCGGGUUGUAAACUCCUUUCGCUAGGGAAGAAGCCACUUGUGGUGACGGUACCUGGAUAAGAAGCACCGGCUAACUACGUGCCAGCAGCCGCGGUAAUACGUAGGGUGCGAGCGUUGUCCGGAAUUACUGGGCGUAAAGAGCUCGUAGGUGGUUUGUCGCGUCGUCUGUGAAAUCCCGGGGCUUAACUUCGGGCGUGCAGGCGAUACGGGCAUAACUAGAGUGCUGUAGGGGAGACUGGAAUUCCUGGUGUAGCGGUGAAAUGCGCAGAUAUCAGGAGGAACACCGAUGGCGAAGGCAGGUCUCUGGGCAGUUACUGACGCUGAGGAGCGAAAGCA